GUGGGCUACGGGGACAUGUGUCCCGUCACCAUCGGUGGCAAAAUCGUGGGCUCGCUGUGCGCCAUCGCCGGCGUGCUCACCAUCGCCUUGCCCGUCCCCGUGAUCGUGUCCAAC
rfam:Scleropages formosus scaffold8095, whole genome shotgun sequence.